AAAAUCACAGAUAACAAAUUUUAAUAUAACAGUUUAUUGUGACUUGGACGGUGGACAAAGCAUUAAACGUGUGAUUAACAGUGGCAUAUGUGCAAUAAUGGCAGAAACGAAUGGAAAAAGUCAGAUUGUCAAAAAUGAGCGUCAAUUGCCAGCUGUCAUAGAAUACCUUAUCCUUGGUGUAGACCGUGUUUUCAAGAACUGUAGAUGUAACUUUGGUGCGACCCUCUGCAUCGCCGGAACGAUGACAGCCUUCAUUCUGAUUGGACUGCUGCUUUGGAAAUACGAUGACGUCACAGGAACGAAUAGAAAAGUGUUUACCAGUACCACUAUGCGUCCAACUUGGAUUCCACAUUUCUGGGAUGUAACUGACGAGUCUAUCACAACUUCAAGAACGUAAUUCCAUACCGGAAUUGAAUCAGAUACUCAAAUCUGACUGGCGAAGAUAUUAACUUGUUAAUUUAAAGCGAACACUUUGUUAUUUUACAGUGUACUGGAUACUUAUCUUUUCAUGAUAUUCAUCAAUAAAACAAACCUCAAAUGUAUCUGUAUUUGUUUGUGUUUUUCAUAGUAUAGUCAUAAGAAUAUUUAGGUUUGCCAUUGACUGCAUUAUUGCUUGACUCACUCGAAAAAGAUGUAAU